rnacentral:rRNA from 1 species
CAGCCGCCACGGUAAUACGAAGGUCCCAAGCGUUGUUCGGAAUCACUGGGCGUAAAGGGAGCGUAGGCGGCGUGGUAAGUCAGAUGUGAAAUCCCGGGGCUCAACCCCGGAACUGCAUCCGAUACUGCCAUGCUUGAGGGUUGGAGAGGUGACUGGAAUUCUCGGUGUAGCAGUGAAAUGCGUGGAUAUCGAGAGGAACACUCGUGGCGAAGGCGAGUCACUGGACAACAUCUGACGCUGAGGCUCGAAGGCUAGGGUAGCGAAAGGGAUUAGAUACCCCGGUAGUCCCUGUCUCUUAUAC